UAUUGAAUAGCAAUUGAAUCAAAUUGAAUAGUAACCGAGUGUCACAUGGUGACUUGUCCCCUAAUGGUAAAUCCAAUCAAUGUCUGUGCCUUCAAUGUCCCCGCCUCAAUCUGUUAAACGCUUAGGUAACCAAGUGUCGGAC